UAGGAAAAGCAAUGCUGCCACAAAUCACAAAGAUGAAAAUGUUCGACAGAGAAAUUCCAAUUAAGUGCAUAUAUAAAAAGAUAUUUAAAUCCUGUAGAAUCAAGAUUUCAGAAUCUGCAACUGUGUCAAGAUUUCAUGAUCUCGAACCUUGUUUUGCACUGUGCAAUCGAAUAUGUAGAACAUUCUGAAAUAUUGUUUUUGAACUGUAUAGAAAAUGUUUUAAGCUUGGACGUAAAACUCUAUUCCACAUGGGGGUUAUUGCCAGUUUAUUAAAAGUUCACAUUUAAUUUUUUUGCAGUCUUUCUUUUGUGUGCUGCUACAGUUUAGAGUGGUAGGGGAGCACUCUUUGUCUAAGCUGUUUGUAGCCUAAUAAUAUCACAGUGUAUACUGAGACUUCAUAGUUCCAUGUGAAGAGAAACAUGAAGUGCAUCGUGUCCAGGUUAAGAGACAAUGAGCUUCUAUUUAACGCUGCCUACAGAAAUGCAUUUGGUCUCCCUUGUAGCUUCCUGCACACUGGACCAGAGUGUAUUAGCUUUCUGUAAGAGUGUUAAAGUGCAUCAACUGGUCACCUUUGGGAUGACUAAUAAUUGUAACAGCCACAUCCUGUUGAGAGUUUCUUGUUUUCCUACACCUCUAGUUACUAAAGGUUUUGGAACUGGAAGCUUAGAGUACUGGUGUUUGCUCAUCUGUAAAUGGUUUAUUCCACUGGUGUUGCAGUGUAGCAGUUGCCAUUAUUUUUAGACAUUCUAUUGUACUAAAAUGUUUAAUUUUGGGCAGACAAUUGUAAUAAUUUAACCACGUGUUCUUCCUGUUCCCCUAGAAACAAUAUGCUGUGAUCUUCUGGCCAUUACCUGCUCUUUCUCUCUCUCCCCCUAGAACUUGUAUAUACAGAUACUCUGACGUGUGAAAUUAUUGAAAAAUCCAUAAAGUUUUGCACUUCUAAUGGAGGUUGCUUCACAUUUUGAUUUUCCUCUUUUUUUUCAAAUAAAAUAAGCUUUUCAAGUAAUUUUAUUUGCUUCUGCAAGCUGUUUAACAUUUUAGAUGAUGUUUGUGUCUGCAUGCACCAUUACUUGCUUUUAGAUAGAGGGCAUUUUAACUUUCAGCUGUUGCCGUUAAACUCAUAGAUUGUCUGCAGGUUAUGUCACUCUGGCUGCUGUGUGAUUAUUUGUUUGUGCAUACCCUGGCAUGUUUCCCUAUAUGAAACUUGUCUGUGGAGCUGCAGCACAGAGUACAUUAAGUUUUGCCAAGAAAAUUUGGAGGUAUAUGGUUCAUUAGUUGUCAGAAACAAAUGCAAAACCAUUGUAGUCUCUCUUGAAAUUUGACCUAAUAAAUUUCUUUUUUUCA